GACGAACGCUGGCGGCGUGCUUAACACAUGCAAGUCGAGCGGAGCGGCGAACGGGUGAGUAACGCGUGAGUAACUGCCCACCUCUCUGGGAUAACAGUUGGAAACGGCUGCUAAUACAGGAUAGUGGGGGAUGACUCGCGUCCUAUCAGCUUGUUGGUGGGGUAGUGGCCUCCCAAGGCGACGACGGUUAGCCGGCCUGAGAGGGCGACCGGCCACAUUGGGCUGAGAUACGGCCCAAACUGCUACGGGGGGCAGCAGUGGUGAAUAUUGCGCAAUGGUGGAAACCCUGAUGCAGCAACGCGCGGGCGUGAUGUCGGCCUUCGGGUUGUAAACCGCUUUCAGCCAUGACGCGGUAGUGGCAGAAGAAGCACCGGCUAACUACGUGCCAGCCGCCGCGGUAAUUC
rnacentral:rRNA from 1 species